rnacentral:rRNA from 1 species
AUACGGAGGGUGCGAGCGUUAAUCGGAAUUACUGGGCGUAAAGCGUGCGUAGGCGGUUUGCUAAGUCAGAUGUGAAAGCCCCGGGCUUAACCUGGGAACUGCAUUUGAUACUGGCAGACUAGAGUAUGUUAGAGGGGGGUAGAAUUCCUGGUGUAGCGGUGAAAUGCGUAGAUAUCAGGAGGAAUACCAGUGGCGAAGGCGGCCCCCUGGAUCAAUACUGACGCUGAGGUACGAAAGCGUGGGGAGCGAACAGAAUUAGAAACCCCAGUAGUCC